GAAGCUGGCCGGGCAGUCGCUGCGCAAUUCGCUUGCGCAGAGGAAAGUCCGGGCUCCACAGAGCAGGAUGCCGGUUAACGACCGGACGCCGUGAGGCGAUGGAAAGUGCCACAGAGAAUAGUCUGCCGAUGGCCGCCGCCUGGACUUCGCGGCCGCGAGGCCGCAAAGUUUCGCUGUCGUAGCGAGUAGGGGCGUCGGAUCAGGCGAUGGUGAAACGGUGCGUGUCCCGCAAGGGGCACGGACGGUCGCGAGAUCGUCCGGGUAAGAGCCCACCGCGCUUCUGGCAACAGAAGCGGCACGGCAAACCCCAUCCGGAGCAAGACCAAAUAGGGGGGCAAUAGCGCGGCUCGCGCUGUCCCCGGGUAGGUUGCUCGAGCCGGCAGGCAACUGCCGGCCCAGAUGAAUGACUGCCGGAAUGCCGAAAGGCAUUCGACAGAACCCGGCUUACAGGCCAGCUUCUUCU
rnacentral:RNase_P_RNA from 1 species